AACGAACGCUGGCGGCGUGCCUAACACAUGCAAGUCGAGCGAGAAAGCCCGCAAGGGUGAGUACAGCGGCGCACGGGUGCGUAACACGUGGGUAAUCUACCUCGAAGUCUGGAAUAACUCCCCGAAAGGGGUGCUAAUGCCGGAUGAGACCACGGGAGCUGCGGCUCCCGAGGGAAAAGAUGGCCUCUGCAUGCAAGCUAUCGCUUCGAGAUGAGCCCGCGGCCCAUCAGCUUGUUGGCGGGGUAACGGCCCACCAAGGCUACGACGGGUACCUGGUCUGAGAGGACGAUCAGCCACACUGGAACUGAGACACGGUCCAGACUCCUACGGGAGGCAGCAGUGGGGAAUCUUGCGCAAUGGGCGAAAGCCUGACGCAGCAACGCCGCGUGUGUGAUGAAGGUCUUCGGAUCGUAAAGCACUGUCGGGAGGGACGAAUAAGGGCCGGGUUAACAUCCCGGUCCGAUGACGGUACCUCCAAAGGAAGCACCGGCUAACUCUGUGCCAGCAGCCGCCGUAAGAC
rnacentral:rRNA from 1 species